rnacentral:rRNA from 1 species
GAAGCGUCUGGAAAGGCGCGCGAUACAGGGUGACAGCCCCGUACACAAAAAUGCACAUACUGUGAGCUCGAUGAGUAGGGCGGGACACGUGGUAUCCUGUCUGAAUAUGGGGGGACCAUCCUCCAAGGCUAAAUACUCCUGACUGACCGAUAGUGAACCAGUACCGUGAGGGAAAGGCGAAAAGAACCCCGGCGAGGGGAGUGAAAAAGAACCUGAAACCGUGUACGUACAAGCAGUGGGAGCACGCUUAGGCGUGUGACUGCGUACCUUUUGUAUAAUGGGUCAGCGACUUAUAUUCUGUAGCAAGGUUAACCGAAUAGGGGAGCCGAAGGGAAACCGAGUCUUAACUGGGCGUUAAGUUGCAGGGUAUAGACCCGAAACCCGGUGAUCUAGCCAUGGGCAGGUUGAAGGUUGGGUAACACUAACUGGAGGACCGAACCGACUAAUGUUGAAAAAUUAGCGGAUGACUUGUGGCUGGGGGUGAAAGGCCAAUCAAACCGGGAGAUAGCUGGUUCUCCCCGAAAGCUAUUUAGGUAGCGCCUCGUGAAUUCAUCUCCGGGGGUAGAGCACUGUUUCGGCAAGGGGGUCAUCCCGACUUACCAACCCGAUGCAAACUGCGAAUACCGGAGAAUGUUAUCACGGGAGACACACGGCGGGUGCUAACGUCCGUCGUGAAGAGGGAAACAACCCAGACCGCCAGCUAAGGUCCCAAAGUCAUGGUUAAGUGGGAAACGAUGUGGGAAGGCCCAGACAGCCAGGAUGUUGGCUUAGAAGCAGCCAUCAUUUAAAGAAAGCGUAAUAGCUCACUGGUCGAGUCGGCCUGCGCGGAAGAUGUAACGGGGCUAAACCAUGCACCGAAGCUGCGGCAGCGACGCUUAUGCGUUGUUGGGUAGGGGAGCGUUCUGUAAGCCUGUGAAGGUGUGCUGUGAGGCAUGCUGGAGGUAUCAGAAGUGCGAAUGCUGACAUAAGUAACGAUAAAGCGGGUGAAAAGCCCGCUCGCCGGAAGACCAAGGGUUCCUGUCCAACGUUAAUCGGGGCAGGGUGAGUCGACCCCUAAGGCGAGGCCGAAAGGCGUAGUCGAUGGGAAACAGGUUAAUAUUCCUGUACUUGGUGUUACUGCGAAGGGGGGACGGAGAAGGCUAUGUUGGCCGGGCGACGGUUGUCCCGGUUUAAGCGUGUAGGCUGGUUUUCCAGGCAAAUCCGGAAAAUCAAGGCUGAGGCGUGAUGACGAGGCACUACGGUGCUGAAGCAACAAAUGCCCUGCUUCCAGGAAAAGCCUCUAAGCAUCAGGUAACAUCAAAUCGUACCCCAAACCGACACAGGUGGUCAGGUAGAGAAUACCAAGGCGCUUGAGAGAACUCGGGUGAAGGAACUAGGCAAAAUGGUGCCGUAACUUCGGGAGAAGGCACGCUGAUAUGUAGGUGAAGUCCCUCGCGGAUGGAGCUGAAAUCAGUCGAAGAUACCAGCUGGCUGCAACUGUUUAUUAAAAACACAGCACUGUGCAAACACGAAAGUGGACGUAUACGGUGUGACGCCUGCCCGGUGCCGGAAGGUUAAUUGAUGGGGUCAGCGCAAGCGAAGCUCUUGAUCGAAGCCCCGGUAAACGGCGGCCGUAACUAUAACGGUCCUAAGGUAGCGAAAUUCCUUGUCGGGUAAGUUCCGACCUGCACGAAUGGCGUAAUGAUGGCCAGGCUGUCUCCACCCGAGACUCAGUGAAAUUGAACUCGCUGUGAAGAUGCAGUGUACCCGCGGCAAGACGGAAAGACCCCGUGAACCUUUACUAUAGCUUGACACUGAACAUUGAGCCUUGAUGUGUAGGAUAGGUGGGAGGCUUAGAAGUGUGGACGCCAGUCUGCAUGGAGCCGACCUUGAAAUACCACCCUUUAAUGUUUGAUGUUCUAACGUUGACCCGUAAUCCGGGUUGCGGACAGUGUCUGGUGGGUAGUUUGACUGGGGCGGUCUCCUCCUAAAGAGUAACGGAGGAGCACGAAGGUUGGCUAAUCCUGGUCGGACAUCAGGAGGUUAGUGCAAUGGCAUAAGCCAGCUUGACUGCGAGCGUGACGGCGCGAGCAGGUGCGAAAGCAGGUCAUAGUGAUCCGGUGGUUCUGAAUGGAAGGGCCAUCGCUCAACGGAUAAAAGGUACUCCGGGGAUAACAGGCUGAUACCGCCCAAGAGUUCAUAUCGACGGCGGUGUUUGGCACCUCGAUGUCGGCUCAUCACAUCCUGGGGCUGAAGUAGGUCCCAAGGGUAUGGCUGUUCGCCAUUUAAAGUGGUACGCGAGCUGGGUUUAGAACGUCGUGAGACAGUUCGGUCCCUAUCUGCCGUGGGCGCUGGAGAACUGAGGGGGGCUGCUCCUAGUACGAGAGGACCGGAGUGGACGCAUCACUGGUGUUCGGGUUGUCAUGCCAAUGGCACUGCCCGGUAGCUAAAUGCGGAAGAGAUAAGUGCUGAAAGCAUCUAAGCACGAAACUUGCC